GUGCCCUUUUAAGGUUGACCACAUCUUAAGAGGCUAACACAAAAGAGUAAAUGAAAUCUCCAUAAAACCCAGAGAUGAGGCAGUAAAACUCCUCUUUGGAUCCUGUCUGGAGUUACAACU
ensembl:snoRNA